GGGUAGGUACCCAAGUGGCCAAAGGGGGCAGACUGUAAAUCUGCUGGCUGUAUGCCUUCGGAGGUUCGAAUCCUUCCCUGCCCA
rnacentral:tRNA from 1 species